AACGUCCGCGCCUCUCUUCCCCGCCUCCGAAGAAAGAAAGAAAAUAUCGCACCCGUCAAAUCGCCACCCACGCCUCCCUCCUCCUCAAAGCCAGCACCGCCGCCGCCUCGCCCGCGCACUUCCACCCAAAGCCCACCCCCACCCCCGCGGGCCCGAAUCCCUUCGCUCCCAGCGCCGGUCACCGCCGCCGUCGACGGCCACCCGAGCCGCCUCCUGCCGUUGGUUCCGGUGGCCAACGGCCGCGAGGUGGAUCUUCGUCGCCCGCUUCCUCUUCCUCCCCUUCCACAGUUCGGGCCAAGAGGCAAGAGGGCUAGGGUUGUGGCGAUGGAGCCCCGUCCCACCAGCGCGAUCGCGGCCUCCUCUGCGCUCCCCGCUGCCCGCUUCCUCCCCUGGGUCGAGCCCAAGCACAGGAAAGCCUGCUUCCUUCCCUAGGUCGAGCGGCCCGAGCACAGACAUUGGAGUACAAGAGAAGAAGUAAAAGAAGAGAAAGGUGUAUGUAUACUUUCUGGAUUUGUGUCAUGUGUCAGAUUAAUUGCAUGAUUCAUCGGUAUACUUUGCCUUUAGCUAGCUGCUAGAAUUCAUGUCUUCUUUUGUUCCUCCAUAUCUUAAAGAUCCACACUAAAAUCAUUAAGAAAAUUUGUGAAGGUCAGUCUGGUACCAUCUUAUUAAGAAAAAAGCUUGACCGUGGAGGGUAUAUACAUGAAGUGCAAGAAAAUGAAUGGGAUUUUGAAUUAAUAAGUUGCGGCACCGUAGGAAUGAUGUUGUCCAUGCUGAUGGAAAAUGCUCAAUUGCAGCCUCUCAGCACUUUUCUCUGGGAACCAAUGCUUGACAGUUAACUUCCAAUUAUUUUCUGUUCUCAUAAUCUCGCUGUGCAGGUAGCUGACAGUGAGAUACUGUGAUGCCCUCGGACCCUCAGAAAGGUACUCCUAUAAGGCACCACCAAAACAAUAUUUACUAUGGAUCUAACAUAUCUAACAACAUUAUCUGAUCUGAUUAUUUAAUUUGUCAGCUCUUAGCAGUGUGAGCUGAUUUCUUAAUUUGUCAAAGUCGUGUUUACAUAUCUAACAACAUUAUGUUAUCUGAUUAUUUUUCUGAACCAAAUCCAGCAAGACUAAACUGUGAAUUUUACCCAAUGACAGUAUUUCCUCAUGAGAAUAACUGUCUCGAGCUUACUAAUUAAAUGUAUGCUUCUGUUUUUUUACUAAUUUAAUAUUGAGGAAUAUUGGGGGAGGUGUGUUGGUGUCUGACACCUAAUUGCAGAACAUGUAUAUUGCAGAAUUUGGUGUACAACCAUGAUAUCUUGUUGGUUGAUUUCUUGAGAGUUUAGGCGAUCAAAAUGGCAGUUUACCCUUUGCCUUUAAUUUCUCAUGGCAAUAAAGGUGAUAUUUGUCUGGGUCAGCCUCAAAUAGGUGAUCUUUACAAUUCUGAGAAGAGAAUCCAUACCCAUGUUUUUUUUGUUAAAUCAUUCAUGUAGUUGAUCAGUUGAUGUCUAAGUUGUUGAGAAUCCAUUGCCUGCUGCAAAGCUCAAAAGUAUCCAAAACAUGCUACCAGAUUCCUUGCUAUUAAUUUGUUGCCAAUAUUAACCGUCUAAUACCAUGACGUAUGAGCUUCUGGUUCAGUUUGCGAACAUUCUAUUAUUGUUGUAGUUGAUUUCUUUCAGCAUAUUGGAUAUCAUCCUCGAUGAGGCAGGAUUAUGAUUCUACCACUAAUGGCGUGGAGAACUCAAUGUCUCGGAAAUGAAAAUAUAAUUUCUUCCAUUGUUGACCAUAGGAAAACACAUGGUUAUAACAGAUUUGGAGUUGCAGCAUGCGAAAACACGGAGAUAUUGGGACUGCACAGGUACACAUGGAAGUUUGCACAUUGUGAACUGCUCAAGUCUCCUUGUAUAUACUGUGCUAUAGACCAAGAUACUCCAGGCCAGUUUUUUUUCCCUUGAAAAUAUGCCUCUUUUAUUAUUAUGUAUAAAGCCGCUAUUGUUUUAUCGCUAAAAAGGUUUAUGAGCAAAAUAGGAAAGGAUCUUUUUUUUUGCGGGUAAAUAGGGAAGGAUCUUGAUUUAGUUUCAUUUGGUUCGUAACGUUAUCUAAAUCUUUUAAUGCUCUGUUUUCUCGUGGUAAGAUAGGUUCAAAUAGAAGAAAUGCUUUGGCAGGAUCUUGGGCUUUUCCUGGAAUUGCAUGAGCUACUGAAAAAAAAAAUAGGGUGACAAACGUGCAAAAAGGUGAGAUAGUUUGCUAUUAUGAUGUGCCUUUGAUAGUUAAUUACCGGUUAGGAACAAUUGCUCCUGUUGGUUAGUUUAUUCGUGAACACACUCUUAAAGAUCAUGUAUGUGGUCCUCUUUUAGACAUUUUGGAUUAGCUGCGAGCAAGAUAUAACUGGAGCUUCAAACUGCCCUUGGAUAUAAUUUUUCCUCUCUGUUACGAAUCUUACGAUGACUUUGUUACUCGUUAUGCUCUGAUAUAUUUAUGUAUCCAGUUAUGUCAGUUGUGUGACGAAUGGCGUCAUGCAGUUCCAGUUUUUUGUGCCGAAUGGCGUCUAGAAUCCAAAUCUUAUUUCUUCCAUUGUUGAGCACAGGAAAACACAUGGCUAUAGAUUAAAAGAACUAAUGUUUACAUUGUCGUAUCAUUUCUGUUAGACCAUCUCAGGAAUGAAGAAGUGUUCUUUGAUGAACCUAUGUGAGCGAUAGAUUUGGUGGAAACAAAGUGCGUUUGAGAAAAAUAUUGAUGCAUCAUUUAUUAAGGAGAUCUUUUGAUGGUGCUCAAAGGAUUCAGUUCUAAAAGUUGCUCAUGGAAAUAUUUUUCUUUUUGUUAUAAUUUGUAUGCUAAGCAAUACAUGACAUAUUGUAUCACCCAUGAGUUAUAUAGUUGAUCUUUUCCGGUUAUAGUA